AGUUUUGCUGGUUUGCAUUCCGCUUUAACUGAUGUUUGCUGUGCAAAUCCAUGCAAAACUGA
rnacentral:pre_miRNA from 1 species